rnacentral:rRNA from 1 species
CCUACGGGUGGCAGCAGUGAGGAAUAUUGGUCAAUGGGAGAGACCCUGAACCAGCCAAGCCGCGUGAGGGAAGACGGCCCUAUGGGUUGUAAACCUCUUUUGUCGGAGAACAAAACCCGGGACGUGUCCCGUACUGCGUGUAUCCGAAGAAAAAGCAUCGGCUCACUCCGUGCCAGCAGCCGCGGUAAUACGGGGGAUGCGAGCGUUAUCGGGUUUUAUUGGGUUUAAAGGGGGCGUAGGCGGUCUGUUAAGUGAGCGGUAAAAUUGCGGGGCUCACCCCCGUCCUGCCGUUGAAACUGGGUGGCUUGAGUGGGCGAGAGGUACGCGGAAUGCGCGGUGUAGCGGUGAAAUGCAUAGAUAUGACGAAGAACUCCGAUGGCGAAGGCAGCGUACCGGCGCCAGACUGACGCUGAGGCACGAAAGCGUGGGGAUCGAACAGGAUUAGAUACCCCUGUAGUC